rnacentral:rRNA from 1 species
UACGUAGGGGGCAAGCGUUGUCCGGAAUCAUUGGGCGUAAAGCGCGCGUAGGCGGCCCGGUAAGUCCGCUGUGAAAGUCCAGGGCUCAACCCUGGAAAGCCGGUGGAUACUGCCCGGGCUAGAGUCCGGAAGAGGCGAGUGGAAUUCCUGGUGUAGCGGUGGAAAUGCGCAGAUAUCAGGAGGAACACCAAUAGCGAAGGCAGCUCGCUGGGACGUUACUGACACUGAGGCGCGAAAGCGUGGGGGAGCGAACAGGA